rnacentral:rRNA from 1 species
UGGGGAAUAUUGGACAAUGGGCGCAAGCCUGAUCCAGCCACGCCGCGUGAGUGAUGAAGGCCUUCGGGUUGUAAACUGCUUUUGUACGGAACGAAAAGACUCCUUCUAAUAAAGGGGGCCCAUGACGGUACCGUAAGAAUAAGCACCGGCUAACUACGUGCCAGCAGCCGCGGUAAUACGUAGGGUGCAAGCGUUAAUCGGAAUUACUGGGCGUAAAGCGUGCGCAGGCGGUUAUGCAAGACAGAUGUGAAAUCCCCGGGCUCAACCUGGGAACUGCAUUUGUGACUGCAUAGCUGGCGUGCGGCAGAGGGGGAUGGAAUUCCGCGUGUAGCAGUGAAAUGCGUAGAUAUGCGGAGGAACACCGAUGGCGAAGGCAAUCCCCUGGGCCUGUACUGACGCUCAUGCACGAAAGCGUGGGGAGCAAACA